UGGUGUAGCUCAAUUGGCAGAGCAGCUGAUUUGUAAUCAGCAGGUUGCUGGUUCGAUUCCGGUCACC
rnacentral:tRNA from 1 species